rnacentral:lncRNA from 10 species
GGUGCGGUGUUCCUACCCUCCAGAGGAAGCAGCAUCAGGGUGUUGUGUUGGACCCCUGCAAACUUCAGUAGGGAUGGCACCAGGUUCAAGAGGCUGAAGAAGAGACCCAGAGCCAGCAAACAAGACAUAGAGUCUUACUGGGACGGUCCAGUGGUGGCAGGACCGAUCCACCAUACAGGAACGGUCCAGUGGUGGCAGGACCGAUCCACCAUACAGGAACGGUCCAGUGGUGGCAGGCUAGACAGGAGACCCACAACCACUUGCAAAAAGCAUGCAGUUGAUACAGCACCUUCACUCAGAACCCUCCCCAGCAACCUCCAUGUGGUGCAUCUACCAUACACAAGGCACCAUCUUGAGAGUGGAGACUUGGCCCUCACCAAACAAUUGAACCUGCUGGCACCUAGAUCUUGGAACUACCCGUCUUCAGAACUCUUUCACCCUGCUGAAAAGAUUCAAAAGGCAUCGCUU